rnacentral:lncRNA from 1 species
GCCGAUGAUAAUAUAAUUAAUAAUAAUAACUAAAAAAAUAUUGUAGCGUGCCCAUAACAUAGUCAGUGAGAGCCGCGGAUAAGCUUUUCUUUAUUAUUAUUUUUUUCUUUUGGCCAGUGGCAUGCCACUUGGGUGGCAGUCAACACUUUUCGCUUGUGACUCACCCAAGCAUGAUCAUCCUGAUCCCGGAUCGUGACCGUCUGGUUGUGGGAACGGAUUCCACACAUCAACGAUCAGCCAAAACGAUUAAUCCAAACAUUUUAUGGAGGUGCCUAGUGAUCGCAGAAGUAGCAGAAGUGGCAGCACCCUUCAUCGCCAUCUCUCUCACUCUCAAAUAUAUUUAGGAAGAAAGAAAAGGCUUUCAA